CUGACUAAAGUGAUGAUUGCAUAGUUCAGCAGAUACACUGUGAAGAAAAAACCUUUCGCCCCUAUCUGAUGUUGGCUCA